rnacentral:lncRNA from 1 species
CUUUGAGCAACUGUGCCUCUGAGUAUAAAAAGGAGCCCCACCUGAAAGGAGAAGAAAGCUUUAUCACCCACCCUAUGUGUCCUCUUCCUGUGUGGGACAGAGAGAUCAGGAGAGGAGUGACCGGCUGGGAAUUGGUUUGUUUUCUGUGGCACAGAGGAUCAAAGUAAAUAUAGAAGCUUUUUUCUCUCUUGCUUUCCACUCUCACUCCCUAAGGAGAACAAUUGGCAGCAGGUUUUUAUAUCUUCUCUCUGGAAAUUAACCAAUUUUAGCUUUCCUCCCAUAUACGGAAUUAUAAUACAGUAAUGGCUGUUUGUCAUGUGCUUGCUAUGUGCCAGAGAAUGUCUUCAGCAUCUUGUAUAGACUGCAUUUUACCUCAUCCCCAGGGCAACUCUACGAAAGCCAUAUAACUUGAAUUUUCAUUCUUCACCGGGCCACAGGCACCUAGAUAAGGUGCCACCCAUUCUUCUUCAUACAAAUUUUGUUAUUUCAUGCCAACAACGACUUCACGG